rnacentral:rRNA from 1 species
CCUACGGGAGGCUGCAGUGAGGGAUAUUGGGCAAUGGGCGCAAGCCUGACCCAGCGACGCCGCGUGGAGGACGAAGGGCUUCGGCUCGUAAACUCCUUUUCCCGUGGACGAGAGAAGGACGGUACACGGGGAAUAAGUCUCGGCUAACUACGUGCCAGCAGCCGCGGUAAAACGUAGGAGGCGAGCGUUAUCCGGAAUCACUGGGCGUAAAGGGCGUCUAGGCGGCACGACAAGUGAGGUGUGAAAGCUCCUGGCUCAACUAGGAGAGUGCGCUUCAGACUGUCGAGCUUGGAGGGCAGGUGAAGGGGGUGGAAUUCCCGGUGGAGUGGUGGAAUGCGUAGAGAUCGGGAGGAACACCAGUGGCGAAAGCGGCCCCCUGGCCUGUUGCUGACGCUGAAGCGCGAAAGCGUGGGGAGCAAACGGGAUUAGAUACCCCGGUAGUC